GACGAACGCUGGCGGCGUGCUUAACACAUGCAAGUCGAGCGGUAAGGCCCUUUCGGGGGUACGACGAGCGGCGAACGGGUGAGUAACACGUGGGUGACCUGCCCUCCAGCUCUGGGAUAAGCCUGGGAAACCGGGGUCUAAUACUGGAUAUGACUCCAUGACGCAUGUUGUGGGGUGGAAAGCCUUGUGCGGCUGAGGAUGGGCCCGCGGCCUAUCAGCUUGUUGGUGGGGUGAUGGCCUACCAAGGCGACGACGGGUAGCCGGCCUGAGAGGGCGACCGGCCACACUGGGACUGAGACACGGCCCAGACUCCUACGGGAGGCAGCAGUGGGGAAUCUUGCGCAAUGGGCGAAAGCCUGACGCAGCGACGCCGCGUGAGGGAUGAC
rnacentral:rRNA from 1 species